AAGACGCCUCCACAAGAACAAAAGAAUGAGCAAAGUAAGACGCCAUCCGAAGAACAAAAUAAGGAGCAAAACAAUAUGCCCCCGGAGGAACAAAGUAAGACGCCUCCAGAGGAACAAAAUGAGCAAAAGAAGACGCUUUCAAAUGAACAAAAUAAGAUUCCUCCGGAAGAACAAAACAAAAUGUCUCCAGAAGAACAGAAAAAGGAACAAAAAGACCUUACUUCUAUAGUAAAAAGUUGGUUCUAAUGAAACUAGGAUACUGUCGGUUUUUCGUGAUGCCAGAGAUUCAGAGAAGGUAGAAAGGAGAGGUGAAACAGUUUACAUAGCUGACAAGCAAAACCCCAAAAGGAAGGACCUGGAGGACCUGGAGGACCAGAAGGCAUUGCUUGAAAUGUAUUAAUUCAUAGAGUUUUUCUCUUUCAGUAGAGUUGUUGCUUCAUGUAUGGAUCCAAAAGCAUAUGAUUUUUCUGUACUUAUAAUCCCUUUCUAAAUAGAAAUUUUUUUACCAA